AUCACUAAGCGGAGGAAAAGAAACUAACCAGGAUUCCCUCAGUAACGGCGAGUGAAGAGGGAGGAGCCCAGCACCGAAUCCCGUCGGCCCGUCGUGGCCGGCAGGGACCUGUGGUGUUCGGGACUGCCGGUCUGGGGCGGCGCCGCCAGCGCCCGAGUCCUCAUGACAGUGGCCUGACCCAGGGCGGGUGCCAGGCCUCUGUGGCGAGGGCCGCCGUCCCGUUCCGAGCGUCCCAGGAGUCGGGUUGUUUGGGAAUGCAGCCCAAAGAGGGUGGUAAACUCCAUCUAAGGCUAAAUACCUGCACGAGUCCGAUAGCGGACAAGUACCGUGAGGGAAAGUU
rnacentral:rRNA from 1 species